UUAGUCUGUAAAUGUGUGGUGUUAGAAAAGCAGGCUGAGUUCUGGGCUGGUUGUAGAAGGAGAAAGAAGCCCCCAGGCCAGUGCAGGCAGGCAGCCCUCAGCUUGCACCUGAUGUCCCCUCCCUGCAGGUUCCUGUCCUUGAGCCCAGGCCCUGAGGUGAGGCUGAGAAGUGGCGCGGAGGUGAGCCCAGAGCUGUCCCUGAGGAUUUCUCCUUCCCAAAGCUUGGCCAGAUGAAGGAGGCUGCGAGGAAGAGGAAGAUGCCUUGGGCCCCCCAGGCAGGCCCCGAGCUGAGGACGGAGAGCCCGGAGGACAAAUCCCCCCGGCAGAGCCUGGUGGGAGAGGCCGUUUUGAAGGGCUCCCCGGCGCAGGAAGGCAGCGGGGAGGAAAAGGGCCGGAGAUCCCCCCGCAGGAGGGGCUCCAAAGCCAGCCCAGGGUGCUCUGAGGAGGAAAGAGCCAGCCUGUGCCUGGAAGGCGGCCGGAACUUGAGGGGGAGCUCUGACCUGGUGGUCCCUGAGCAGCCUCCCAGCAGGGAGAAGCCCUUCAGGUGCCUGGAAUGUGGGAAGAGCUUCAGGAAGAGCUCGAGCCUCUUCACUCACCAGCACAUCCACACUGGUGUAGGGCCCUACACAU